rnacentral:snRNA from 1 species
AUACUUAUGUGGCAGGGGAGUUACCAUGAUCACGAAGGUGAUUCUCCCAUGGUAGGGCUGAUCCAUGGCACUCUUACAUAGCACUCAUAGUACAGUACAUCUGUCCCGACCCUGUGAUUUCCUAAAUGCAAAGAGCUCUGCUGCACAAUUUGUUAUUGGAGAUUGCAUCUGCACUCUCCCC